rnacentral:rRNA from 1 species
UACAGAGGGGGCAAGCGUUGUUCGGAAUUACUGGGCGUAAAGGGCGCGUAGGCGGCCUUCUAAGUCGAACGUGAAAUCCCCGGGCUCAACCCGGGAACUGCGUCCGAUACUGGAAGGCUUGAAUCCGGGAGAGGGAUGCGGAAUUCAAGGUGUAGCGGUGAAAUGCGUAGAUAUCUGGAGGAACACCGGUGGCGAAGGCGGCAUCCUGGACCGGCAUUGACGCUGAGGCGCGAAAGCCAGGGGAGCAAACGGG